AGCGAACGCUGGCGGCAGGCCUAACACAUGCAAGUCGAACGAACUCUUCGGAGUUAGUGGCGGACUGGUGAGUAACACGUGGGAACGUGCCUUUUGGUUCGGAAUAACUCAGGGAAACUUGUGCUAAUACCGAAUGUGCCCUUCGGGGGAAAGAUUUAUCGCCAUUAGAGCGGCCCGCGUCUGAUUAGCUAGUUGGUGAGGUAACGGCUCACCAAGGCGACGAUCAGUAGCUGGUCUGAGAGGAUGACCAGCCACACUGGGACUGAGACACGGCCCAGACUCCUACGGGAGGCAGCAGUGGGGAAUCUUGCGCAAUGGGCGAAAGCCUGACGCAGCCAUGCCGCGUGAAUGAUGAAGGUCUUAGGAUUGUAAAAUUCUUUCACCGGGGACGAUAAUGACGGUACCCGGAGAAGAAGCCCCGGCUAACUUCGUG
rnacentral:rRNA from 1 species